CAUCCGUUUAUAAGCAUUUAGCGAUUAAACAAAAUGUUGUUUCUUUACUGGUAAACAUUGCAAACAGUGGUGUGAUAGUGUGUAUUUUGUUUCAUAGUUUGACACCAUCAUAGCCGUGAAGGUGAUAAGGAGCAAGCUAGGAGUCAUGCCCUGUGCAUUUAGUGGAUGCAUAGGCUGGAAGAGCAGCACAGGGAGAGAGGGCAUGGGACCAGUGGAUGCUUACCCAUCAGAUGCCAGAAAUGAGCACAUGCCAGACCACCGGCCAAGUUCCUCAAUGACAAUGGUGACCAUGAUAGAGACAACGAGGAAGAAGCUGGACCUGCAUGUGCUAUCAUCUGUGCUGCACCCAGGAGGAGAUGCCCAGCACGACCAGAAGAUGAUUAUCAGGAAUACACC